UACGGAGGGAGCUAGCGUUGUUCGGAAUUACUGGGCGUAAAGCGCGCGUAGGCGGCCUUGCAAGUUAGAGGUGAAAGCCCCGGAGCUCAACUCCGGAACUGCCUUUAAAACUGCAUAGCUUGAAUCCGGGAGAGGUGAGUGGAAUUCCGAGUGUAGAGGUGAAAUUCGUAGAUAUUCGGAAGAACACCAGUGGCGAAGGCGGCUCACUGGACCGGUAUUGACGCUGAGGUGCGAAAGUGUGGGGAUCAAACAGG
rnacentral:rRNA from 1 species